AGAGUUUGAUCCUGGCUCAGAACGAACGUUAGCGGCGCGCCUAACACAUGCAAGUCGAACGCGACUGGGGGCAACUCCAGUUGAGUGGCGCACGGGUGAGUAACACGUAGGUAAUCUCCCCCCGAGUGGUGGAUAACCCUCCGAAAGGAGAGCUAAUACAGCAUGAGACCACGGGCUCGAAAGAGACUGAGGUCAAAGCGGAGGAUCGCAAGACUUCGCGCUUGGGGAUGAGCCUGCGGCCCAUCAUGGUAGUUGGCGUGGUAAUGGCCCACCAAGCCUUAGACGGGUAGCUGGUCUGAGAGGAUGAUCAGCCACACUGGAACUGAGACACGGUCCAGACUCCUACGGGAGGCAGCAGUGGGGAAUCUUGCGCAAUGGACGAAAGUCUGACGCAGCGACGCCGCGUGGGUGAUGAAGGCCUUCGGGUUGUAAAGCCCUGUGGGGAGGGACGAAUAAGUUGUGGCUAAUACCCACAGCGAUGACGGUACCUCCUAGCAGCA
rnacentral:rRNA from 1 species